GCUGGGAUAGCUCAGUUGGUAGAGCAUCUCCAUGGUAAGGAGAAGGUCGUGGGUUCAACUCCCAUUCCCAGCU
rnacentral:tRNA from 1 species